rnacentral:rRNA from 1 species
UGGAGGGCAAGUCUGGUGCCAGCAGCCGCGGUAAUUCCAGCUCCAAUAGCGUAUAUUAAAGUUGUUGAGGUUAAAAAGCUCGUAGUUGAACCUUGGGCCUAGCCGGCCGGUCCGCCUCACCGCGUGCACUGGCUCGGCUGGGCCUUUCCUUCUGGAGAACCGCAUGCCCUUCACUGGGUGUGCUGGGGAACCAGGACUUUUACUCUGAAUAAAUUAGAUCGCUUAAAGAAGGCCUAUGCUCGAAUACAUUAGCAUGGAAUAAUAGAAUAGGACGUGUGGUUCUAUUUUGUUGGUUUCUAGGACCGCCGUAAUGAUUAAUAGGGACAGUCGGGGGCAUCAGUAUUCAAUUGUCAGAGGUGAAAUUCUUGGGUUUAUUGAAGACUAACUACUGCGAAAGCAUUUGCCAAGGAUGUUUUCAUUAAUCAGGAACGAAAGUUAGGGGAUCGAAGACGAUCAGAUACCGUCGUAGUCUUAACCAUAAACUAUGCCGAUUAGGGAUCGGACGGUGUAAUUUUUUGACCCGUUCGGCACCUUACGGGAAAC